UCAACCAUCAAGCUCUGCUUGGCAUUGGGCGCGGUCCCCCGUAACUUGGGGACCCGCCUCAAAGGUGUCGGCGGUGGCAUGGAGCCUCAAGCGUAGUAAAAUUUAUCCCGCUUCAGAGGUCUCUGCGUCGCCCGCUACCAAAACCCAUCACCUCAA
rnacentral:misc_RNA from 1 species